ensembl:lncRNA
AGCGGAGUUUCACAACCACGCACAGGUACACAAAGACACCGAGCAGCGCAAAGGACGGGCACACGCGUCUAAACAGCUAUGCGGACGCCUGCUGCCCACACUUGAACCUCGCGGUGCUGUACUUGUAAACGUUAGGAGUGAGCCGGGAAAAGUUGUUGGAGACUCGGGGUGCGCGUCUCCUUUCGUGCGUCUGACUCCCAUAGAGAGUGCGCUUAAGGCAGGUCUGUGAGCGUGGGCUCCGCAGGAGUCUCUUCCAUCUCCAAACGCACUUUCCCAGCCCCUAAAGGAGCUGUUUGAAGAGGCAGUUCUCGGAAACCCAGGCGCCCUUCCAUCCUGGCCUGGAGUCCACGUCCAAGUUUGGGAAACAGGAAUGGGCGGGGCUUGUUAGAAGCUACCACUUAGACGCGCGUCGAUUACAGUCGCGACGGGUUUUGCUGGCGCACAGGUUUGUGAGCCCCUCUGCGUGGAUUUAAAAAUAUGUACAUUUUAAAAACCAUUGACUUGUCAAGCCCCGCCAGAGGCCCAGACUCCCCCGCAGCCGGAGCUGCUGAGAUGUCUGUUCUUCGCUUCCCUCCCACUCCUACCACCUCCAGCUCCCCUCCUCCUCCCUUCCGUUGAGAACAAGGAAUUUCCAGCCCUUAGCAAAUGGAGAGAGAAACAAAAAGACCAAGAUUAAGGGAAACUACGGAAAAACAACAAAGAGACAGCUGUGAAGAGCGGAGACUACUCUCUAGUUGCGGAGCUCGGGCUUCUCAUUGCAGUGGCUUCUCUUGUUUCGGAGCACAGGCUCUGGAGCGCAGGCUCAAUAGUUGGGGUGCACCAGCCUGCUGCUCCACAGCAUGUGGGAUUUUCCCAGACCAGGAGUCAAACCCACGGCUCCUGCAUUGGCAGGUGGAUUCUUGACUACUAAGCCACCAGGUAAGCCCAGGACCAAUUUUUAAAGCAAUUUAGAAUCACUGUAGAGUACACUACUCUCUAAAAAACAGUAAUAACAUGAAUUAUUUUUUUAAAUCCCCAUUUUAUUAGAUUCAAUAAAUAUAAAAUUUUGCUGUUAAAUUGCUAUAGAAGUUUCUAAAUGCCUACACUUAACUUCUGAAAUUGUUUCAUUGCAGAUUGGUAACAAAAUUUGGACAAGAUGGUUGGAUGGCAUCACCGACUCAAUGGUCAUGAAUUUGAACAAGCUCUGUGACAUGGUGAAGGACGGGGAAGCCUGGAUUGCUGUAGUUCACAGGGGUCACAAAGAGUCGGAUACAACUGAGCGACUGAACAACAAAAAUAACAACAAACUUUGAGUGGCACUGUUGUAGUUAAAAUUUGUUUCUUUUAUUUAAGUGAUAAGCAUAUGAGGUACUCUGUGAGCACAGAGGAUGGCCUUGUUUGUGUUUUUAUUUAUUUGGCUGUGUUGGGUCUUGUUUGCAGCACUUGGGAUCUUCAUUGCAUCAUAGGGGAUCGUUCACUCUGGGCAUGAACUCUCUAGUUGUGGCUUAUGGGCUAAGCUGCUCUGUGCCAUGUAGGAUCUUAGUUCCUCAACCAGGCAUCAAACCUGUGUCCCCUGUAUUGCAAGGUGCAUUCUUAACCACUAGACUACCAGGAAAGUCCCCAAAUUUGUUUCUAUACAUCUGUAUUUAGGUGAUAUUAGGACCGUGGGCCAUAAAGUAUCACAGGAGAUACCAUGGAACCAUAAAGACUUUUACAUGGGAGUGACAUGGUCAGAUCUGUAUUUAGGAGUGGUAUGGAGAAAAGGUUUUAUGGAUGUUAAAACUGCAGAGAGGCCAACUUGAAGGAAACAGAAGUGCUCUGAGAAAGAUGGCAAGGUGCUAGACUAAAUCACUGGUGCUGGAGAUGGAGAGGAAAGGACAGAUUUAAAAGAUAGUCAUCGGGGCUUCCCUGGUGGCUCAGAGGUAAAGAAUCCACCUGCCAAUGCAGGAGCCAUGGGUUCUAUCACUGACCCACAUGCUGCAGGGCGACUAACCUUGCUCUGCAACUACUGAGCCCGUGUUGAAGAGCCUAGGAGCCACAACUACUGAAGCCGCAGGGCCCUAGAGGCUGUGCUCUACAAGAGAAGCCUCUGCAGGAAGCCUACACACAGCAACUAGAGCAUAGCCCCUGUUCGCUGCAACUAGAGAAAAGUCCACACAGCAAUGAAGACCCAGCAUAGUGAAAACUCCAAUACAUAGAGAAUUAUUUUUCAAAAAAAACUUAAAAAAAUCAUCAUUGGGUAAUAUGAAUAGGAUUUGAUGAUUGGCUAAAGGGUUGGGCGAAGAGAAGAGUUUAGAGUAAUUCUCAGGCUUCUGGCUUGGGUGACUGAGUGGAUACAAAGGAGCAUUGUCAUCAGAUAGGCACCAUCUGCAGUCUUUUUCCUAAGUUAAGAAAGUUACGAAAACCAAAAAUUUUCAUAUCUCUUUUGACUACAAAACCUAAU